GGGAGGGAGCCGUCGAAGGUGGGAUCGGCGAUUGGGACGAAGUCGUAACAAGGUAGCCGUACCGGAAGGUGCGGCUGGAUCACCUCCUUUCUAAGGAGC
rnacentral:rRNA from 1 species